AACGAACGCUGGCGGCACGCUUAACACAUGCAAGUCGAACGGCAGCGGCACCUUCGGGUGGCCGGCGAGUGGCGAACGGGUGAGUAACACGUGGAGACCUGCCCUGGGGUACGGGACAACAGUUGGAAACGACUGCUAAUACCGUAUACGUCCUACGGGAGAAAGAUUUAUUGCCCUUGGAGGGGUCCGCGUCGGAUUAGCUAGUUGGUGGGGUAAAGGCCUACCAAGGCGACGAUCCGUAGCUGUUCUUAGAGGAAGAUCAGCCACACUGGGACUGAGACACGGCCCAGACUCCUACGGGAGGCAGCAGUGGGGAAUAUUGCGCAAUGGGGGAAACCCUGACGCAGCAAUGCCGCGUGAGUGAAGAAGGUCUUCGGAUUGUAAAGCUCUUUCAGCUGGGAAGAUAGUGACGGUACCAGCAGAAGAAGCCCCGGCUAACUCCGUGCCAGCCGCCGCGGUAAUUC
rnacentral:rRNA from 1 species